ACAGAGAGUUGAAGCUGGAGAUCUCGAGGGUGAGAGUGAGACUGAGCGAGUUAGAGAAGGAGCAGGUUUUGAUGAAACAAGGGAUGAUUGAGAAGUCAGGUCAUGGUGGAACAUUGAUGACCUCACUUUCCAAAGGGAUUGGGAGGAUGUCUAUAUUUGGUGGUGGAGCUAAAGAAGAGAAACGACGUAAGGCUAACCGCAAAAACAGGCCAAGGUUGAAGGGCAAAACCGGUAUUAACCGAACAGAGUCUAUGUUUUAAAAAGGUGGCUAGGGAACACUUAAUAAUAUCAUGUAUUCUUAACAAAGUCUAUGGCUACUUCUGAGUGUAUAUCUCGUGAUCAGAACUUGGAAUGUGAUUUAUCAAAUAAUAUUAUAGAACAAAAAUUGACAUUAAAAUGUUAUUAUUAGAAGAAGUUUAUUCUCUUUGUCAUGAAGAAAAGGAUGAGAGACAAGUGAUGAUCAUGUCGCUUAUUAUGGGCUUAAGCAAGAGAGUGGGCUUAGGUUGGCGAGAUCAUGCUCUUGAGGUUUCAGGAGCUCCAACGAGGCGUGUUCGGAUCUGUGGAGAUGAAAAUAAAACUGAUUAAUUUGAGAGGUUGUGAGCAUGAUGAGAAAAAAAGAAGAAUAUUCCAAACCUGGGGAAGCUUCUGUCUGAAGGCGACGUCUAGGCGUGCGUCUAAAGUAUUCUCGCAGACAAUCUUUCCAUCUUGAGAUGCCAGCACCACCCCGCCCGAGCUUCACCAUCAAGACACCCUCAUUGCUCAUGUGGAUGAUAUUACGUGACAAGCGAGAAAGACAGAUUGAAACGAUGGAAGAAGUUUACCAGUGAGGGUCAUGUGAAUCAGGUUGCUUAGGAUUAGGAGGUGGAGGGAGGAACACUUUCUCGUCGAUGGUUAUCUUAGGAGACGCGACUUUCGCUUUAUCUGCAUACUGUUUCUUAGCAUCCUCGAUGAUUGACUCAACAACCUUCUUGUCCAUCUCUCUGCAUCUCAGCAGCACUGAUGGCUCUUUCAGCCGCAGCAAACUCUUACGUACAUACACCACAGUGAUAACUGUUAAGGACUUGUUGACAAGGAUAAUAAGUAUAUAUAGAAAGAUAAAUCAAUACCUCAACGAUGAGAGCCUUGAGAAGCUUUUUGUACGCGUUCUUGUCGUUGGAGACACGAAGAAGGUCCUUAGCCGCAGAGUCUUUCAUGGAGGUGACAACGUCAUCUUGUGCUUGAAGGUACUUAAUCCUACUAGCAUUCAGCUGCGUCGAGUAGUCGCUAAAGAGAGAAAUGGAAUUAGUCUGAAGCCUGAGAGCAAGAAGAUGAAAGUGAUAUAAACAAAGAAGAAGCUUACAUGCGCUUGCGGAUAUCGACCUGCUUGAGCUUGCGAUCAUAAUCUUGACGGAGCUUACGCUUGGCAGUCUCGAGAAGCUGAAGUCUCUCUAUGUUGAAUUCCUCCUCAGCGGAGAUUGAGAUCUCGUUAGCUUUCUCUUCCGCCUCUUGCCGGAUGAACCGGACCAUCUGUUGUAUCUGCUUUGACACAUCUGCGUCGUUCAUAUCUCUCUCUCUCACACACAAACAAAAACAAUCACAAACUUCCUUCUCAAACUCUAUUUUAUAACUCUUGCGAGAGGAGCUAGACCCCACUUUUUGGUGCCAAAACUUCGUUUUCAUGGACCAUUGACUCUUUCUUUAUAUCAAAUCACUACUAUUUUUGGAAUCACAGAUUGUGAAGAAGUAGUCUUGUUUAGAAAAAAACAUGAAUAAGGUCGACAAAACCCAAUAACAUAUUAUUAAUUUGGUUAUGUAAUGUAAGAUAUAAGAUUAUAUCUAAGUUUUUAUGCCAGAAAUUAAAAGCUUGUCUUCCCUCACUUAUUUCGGAAAUCACUUAUUUCGAAAAUACAAUCGGUUUUUGUGUUUGGAAGAUUGAUCUCUGACAAUAUCCUCAUAGCUCAGGAGAUGUUUCAUUGUUUGAGGACUAAUAAAUCAUGUCAGGAUAAAUUUAUGGCCAUGAAAACGGAUAUGAAUAAAACUUAUUAUAAAGUUGAAUGGAUUUUUAUAGAAGAGCUACUGUCCAAGAUGGGGUUUGAUCAUCACUGGACACAACUAAUGAUAGAAUUUAUCUCUUUGGUACAGUACAUAGUCUUAUUGAAUGUCAACCAAAGGGACACAUAACUCCACAGAGAGGUCUACGCAGAAGGAUCAUUUAUCUCCUUAUUUAUUUAAUAUGUGUACAAAAACAUUUAUAGCAAAUAUUAAAAAGGCGGAGAGAGAGAAACAACCGAGGGGCACAAAGGAUGCAAGGGCUUGUCCCCCAAUAUCCCAUUUCCUCUUUGCAAACGAUAGCCUUUUCUUCUGCAAAGCACAAAGAGAGGAAUGUCAAACCAUUCUCAGGAUUCUAAAGGAAUACGAAGUGGUAUCGGGUCAGCAGAUAAAUUUUGAAAAAUCUCCGAUUCAAUUUGGUCACAAGAUUGAAGAACCCAUCAAAUAGAAACUAUGGGAAAUUUUAGGGGUACAUAAUUUAGGCGGUAUGAGAUCUUAUUUGGGAAUUCCUGAGAAUUUGGGAGGAUAAAAAAUACAGGUUUUUGGUUUUGUUCAAGAUCAAUUGAAUAAUAGAGUAAAGGGAUGGAUUUUCAAGUUGUUUACCAAAGGGGAAAGAAAAUGAUUAUAAAAUAUGUGGUAACGGUUUUGCCAAACCAUGUAAUGUCCUGUUUUCGCAUACCAAAAACGGUAAUAAAGAAGCUAACAAGUGCAGUGACACAAUUUUGAUGGAGUCCGGAGGGCAAUACUAGAGGUAUGCACUGGAAAUCAUGGAAUAAACCAUGUAUCCCCAAGGAUGAAUGAGGCUUGGGUUUUAAUGACCUCACAAAUUUAAAUACAACCAUGCUUGAAAAGCAAUUUUUGAGAUUCAUCGACAAACCAAACACACUUUUCUCUCGCGUGUUCAAAUGACGGUAUUUCAGGAAUGCAUCACCCCUAGAACCAAUUAGAUCGUACUCGUCGUCCUACGAUUGGCGCAGUAUUAUCUCUGCUAGAUUUUUUGUUAACAAAUGACUAAUCAAAAGGGUGGGAUCAAGAUCUUCUAUCUCCAUAUGGAAUGAUCCAUGGCUCUCAUCCACUCGCCCGAGACUAGCAAAUAAAAAUCAGCACAAUCUUUACAUGGACCUUACAAUGGAUUCUCUCAUCAAUGUAACAUCAAGGACAUGAAAUUUACAGGUCAUUCAGACUCUGGUGGAUCAUGAAGAUGUUAAAAUAAUUGAAAGUAUACUAUUAAGCCGAAUUCAGACAGCAGAUCGCGAUGGAUGACAUUUUACUAAUAAUGAGAGAUAUAUAGUUAAAUCUGGAUAUCAAAUUGAACGUGUGUACCCAGACAUAAAAAGAAUGUUACCAGAUUUUGGUCCAUCGAUCUCUCCUCCGAAGGCUUUCUGCUGGAAGGUUUGCUUUCAACCUAAGAUGAAACAUUUUUUGUGGCAACUAGUAUCAUGAUGUAUAGAGGUUAAGAAAAAAAAUUAAGAGCAAGAGGAAUACAAGGGGAUACAAUUUGUGCACGAUGUAAAGCACCUGAGAAAUCCAUAAAUCAUGUAUUUUUUGAAUGUCCACGGCGGUUCAAGUUUGGGCACCUCACGAAUUCUUUCGAAUCCAGACAUCUUUCCCACUCAAUCACUUUUUGCGAAUAUGGAUUAUUUAUUUUGGAGAGUUUCUCCGGAAUUGGAAUGCCAUCAAUUUGCAUGGAUCUUAUGGUACAUAUGGAAAUGAAGAAACAACAAAAUUUUUAGUAAUUUAGACAUUGAUCGUAGAGAUACUCUUAAACUAGCAGAAAUUGAGUCUUUACUUUGGGCUGUGGCGCAGAUCUCAAUUACAUGGAGAAUCGAGCAAACUCGAUUACCAGUAGAAGUGAUAGUACCGGAUAUCCCAGGUCGAUGGUGUUUUACGGAUGGAACAUGAAAAAAUCAGAAUGUAUAUUAGGGACAAGGGUGGUAUAUCAUACUGGAAGGUUUUGAUGGUUCAAUAGGAGCGAGGAAUAUGCGAGCGAGUCAGUCGCCACUUCACUUGGAGAUAGAGGCUUUUAUUUGGGCAAUGGAGUGUAUGAAGAAUCUAAGACAGUUUAAUGUUACAUUUGCAACGGAUUGUUCUCAGUUGGUGAAGAUGAUUUCGAAACUAGAAGAAUUGUCAGCCUUUGCAAGUUACUUAAAAGCCAUGUUCGAAACUACGUUAGACGUAACGCGUGCGGUUGGAUAGGGCCUAGCGCCGAAUCAAUUAAUCGGAGAUUAUACAGGGAUUAAUCGGGGCGUAAUUUUAGAUUAUUUAUAUACGUUUUAUGGAUUUAUAUUUUAAAUAUGUAAACUAAGAACAAUAAACUCGCAUGGUUCAGUGGCUAGACUCAUUUAUUGGUACGUACAGGUCAUGGGUUCGAGUAAAUGAAAGCUCUUUUUCUCUAUUUUCUAACGUUUUAGGUUAAAUGAAAGCGAAAUGACGAAAAUAACCCCGUCUCCUAUCUUAAACCUGCGAAUUUUCAGACACAACUAUUUCCAUGUUGUCAGGAGAGUCAGGGAUGGUAAUGUCGUCUCAGAAACUCAGCAGCGGGGUCCCGAGCGGAGCAACGUCUCCGAGAGACACUUACGCAUCGUUGAGGAGGGAGAACAGAGAGUUGAAGCUGGAGAUCUCGAGGGUGAGAGUGAGACUGAGCGAGUUAGAGAAGGAGCAGGUUUUGAUGAAACAAGGGAUGAUUGAGAAGUCAGGUCAUGGUGGAACAUUGAUGACCUCACUUUCCAAAGGGAUUGGGAGGAUGUCUAUAUUUGGUGGUGGAGCUAAAGAAGAGAAACGACGUAAGGCUAACCGCAAAAACAGGCCAAGGUUGAAGGGCAAAACCGGUAUUAACCGAACAG
rnacentral:lncRNA from 1 species